CACCAACAGAUGCAGAUGCAUGGCGACAACGACGCAUUAACUCAAAAGAAGGAUCAUAUUCAGCAUGUCCCUUGCUGGUUUUGGACGAAGUCACUAGCCCAUUUCUAUCCAACCAAGCACCAGCAGCAGUGUCCAACACUAGUCACGGUGAAAAAUUGUUGGAGAUUACAAUAUAACCCCUCUUUCAAGAUGAUAAAAGUAGAGAAAAAAGAUGAUAACAGUUGAGGAAAAAAAACUUGCCAGCAACAGCUGCUUCCCCUUCUACUAAACGUCCUCCCUUUAGGGAUCCUCCUGUAACAUGCAAACGCGCACCAACAAAAACC
rnacentral:lncRNA from 1 species